UAGGGAAUCUUCGGCAAUGGACGAAAGUCUGACCGAGCAACGCCGCGUGAGUGAAGAAGGUUUUCGGAUCGUAAAACUCUGUUGUUAGAGAAGAACAAGGACGUUAGUAACUGAACGUCCCCUGACGGUAUCUAACCAGAAAGCCACGGCUAACUACGUGCCAGCAGCCGCGGUAAUACGUAGGUGGCAAGCGUUGUCCGGAUUUAUUGGGCGUAAAGCGAGCGCAGGCGGUUUCUUAAGUCUGAUGUGAAAGCCCCCGGCUCAACCGGGGAGGGUCAUUUGAAACUGGGAGACUUGGGUGCAGAAGAGGAGAGUGGAAUUCCAUGUGUAGCGGUGAAAUGCGUAGAUAUAUGGAGGAACACCAGUGGCGAAGGCGGCUCUCUGGUCUGUAACUGACGCUGAGGCUCGAAAGCGUGGGGAGCAAACAGG
rnacentral:rRNA from 1 species